AGUGAAUAGAUACCCGGGUAGUCCUGGCCCUAAACGAUGUCGACUAGAUCGUGGUGCUUUGACGGCUUCACGGUCGAAAGCAAAAAAGUGCUAAGUCGACCGCCUGGGAAGUACGGUCGCAAGGCUAAAACUCAAAGGAAUUGACGGGGGCUCACACAAGCGGUGGAGCAUGUGGUUCAAUUCGAAGCAACGCGCAGAACCUUACCUGGGCUUGACAUGCUUGGAUUAUCCCGGUGAAAGUCGGGUAGGCCCGCAAGGGUACAACAAGUACAGGUGCUGCAUGGCUGUCGUCAGCUCGUGUCGUGAGAUGUCGGGUUAAGUCCCAUAACGAGCGAAACCUUUGCCCUUAGUUACCAUCGGGUUAUGCCGGGGACUCUAAGGGGACUGCCGGUGUCAAACCGGAGGAAGGUGGAGAUGACGUCAAGUCCUCAUGGCCUUUAUGCCCAGGGCCACACACGUGCUACAAUGGCGUCCACAAAGCGACCCUAAAACGCAAGUUCAUGGAAAUCGCAGAAAUGACGCCCCAGUUCAGAUCGGAGGCUGCAAC
rnacentral:rRNA from 1 species